AUUGAACGCUGGCGGCAGGCUUAACACAUGCAAGUCGAACGGGUGGCGGACGGGUGAGUAAUGCUUUGGAAUCUAGCUUAUGGAGGGGGAUAGCUACUGGAAACUGUAGCUAAUCACGCAUAACAUAGGAUACGCCCAAGUGGGUUUAGGUAGUUGGUGAGGUAAAGGCGCACCAAGCAGACGAUCUGUAGCUGGUCUGAGAGGAUGACCAUCCACCCUGGGACUGAGACACGGCCCAGACUCCUAAGGGAGGCAGCAGUGGGGAAUAUUGCGCAAUGGGGGAAACCUGACCCAGCCAUGCCACGUGUAUGAAGAAGGCCUUCGGGUUGUAAAGUUCUUUCGGUAGCGAGGCGUUAACUACAGAAGAAGCACCGGCUAACUCCGUGCCAGCCGCCGCGGUAAUUC
rnacentral:rRNA from 1 species